rnacentral:rRNA from 1 species
GAUGAACGCUGGCGGCGUGCCUAAUACAUGCAAGUCGAGCGAAUGGAUUAAGAGCUUGCUCUUAUGAAGUUAGCGGCGGACGGGUGAGUAACACGUGGGUAACCUGCCCAUAAGACUGGGAUAACUCCGGGAAACCGGGGCUAAUACCGGAUAACAUUUGGAACCGCAUGGUUCGAAAUUGAAAGGCGGCUUCGGCUGUCACUUAUGGAUGGACCCGCGUCGCAUUAGCUAGUGGGUGAGGUAACGGCUCACCAAGGCAACGAUGCGUAGCCGACCUGAGAGGGUGAUCGGCCACACUGGGACUGAGACACGGCCCAGACUCCUACGGGAGGCAGCAGUAGGGAAUCUUCCGCAAUGGACGAAAGUCUGACGGAGCAACGCCGCGUGAGUGAUGAAGGCUUUCGGGUCGUAAAACUCUGUUGUUAGGGAAGAACAAGUGCUAGUUGAAUAAGCUGGCACCUUGACGGUACCUAACCAGAAAGCCACGGCUAGCUACGUGCCAGCCGCCGCAGUAA